rnacentral:rRNA from 1 species
AGUGAACGCUGGCGGUAGGCCUAACACAUGCAAGUCGAACGGCAGCACAGUAAGAGCUUGCUCUUACGGGUGGCGAGUGGCGGACGGGUGAGGAAUACAUCGGAAUCUACUUUUUCGUGGGGGAUAACGUAGGGAAACUUACGCUAAUACCGCAUACGACCUACGGGGGAAAGCAGGGGAUAUUCGGACCUUGCGCGAUUGAAUGAGCCGAUGUCGGAUUAGCUAGUUGGCGGGGUAAAGGCCCACCAAGGCGACGAUCCGUAGCUGGUCUGAGAGGAUGAUCAGCCACACUGGAACUGAGACACGGUCCAGACUACUACGGGAGGCAGCAGUGGGGAAUAUUGGACAAUGGGCGCAAGCCUGAUCCAGCCAUACCGCGUGGGUGAAGAAGGCCUUCGGGUUGUAAAGCCCUUUUGUUGGGAAAGAAAAGCAGCAGGUUAAUACCCCGCUGUUCUGACGGUACCCAAAGAAUAAGCACCGGCUAACUUCGUG